rnacentral:rRNA from 1 species
UAUCAGAAGUGCGAAUGCUGACAUAAGUAACGAUAAAGCGGGUGAAAAGCCCGCUCGCCGGAAGACCAAGGGUUCCUGUCCAACGUUAAUCGGGGCAGGGUGAGUCGACCCCUAAGGCGAGGCCGAAAGGCGUAGUCGAUGGGAAACGGGUUAAUAUUCCCGUACUUGGUGUUACUGCGAAGGGGGGACGGAGAAGGCUAUGUUGGCCGGGCGACGGUUGUCCCGGUUUAAGCGUGUAGGUGUGUGUUCCAGGUAAAUCCGGUUCACUUUAACACUGAGGCGUGACGACGAGGCACUACGGUGCUGAAGCAACAAAUGCCCUGCUUCCAGGAAAAGCCUCUAAGCAUCAGGUAACAUCAAAUCGUACCCCAAACCGACACAGGUGGUCAGGUAGAGAAUACCAAGGCGCUUGAGAGAACUCGGGUGAAGGAACUAGGCAAAAUGGUGCCGUAACUUCGGGAGAAGGCACGCUGACACGUAGGUGAAGUGAUUUACUCAUGGAGCUGAAGUCAGUCGAAGAUACCAGCUGGCUGCAACUGUUUAUUAAAAACACAGCACUGUGCAAACACGAAAGUGGACGUAUACGGUGUGACGCCUGCCCGGUGCCGGAAGGUUAAUUGAUGGGGUCAGCGCAAGCGAAGCUCCUGAUCGAAGCCCCGGUAAACGGCGGCCGUAACUAUAACGGUCCUAAGGUAGCGAAAUUCCUUGUCGGGUAAGUUCCGACCUGCACGAAUGGCGUAAUGAUGGCCAGGCUGUCUCCACCCGAGACUCAGUGAAAUUGAACUCGCUGUGAAGAUGCAGUGUACCCGCGGCAAGACGGAAAGACCCCGUGAACCUUUACUAUAGCUUGACACUGAACAUUGAGCCUUGAUGUGUAGGAUAGGUGGGAGGCUUUGAAGUGUGGACGCCAGUCUGCAUGGAGCCGACCUUGAAAUACCACCCUUUAAUGUUUGAUGUUCUAACGUGGACCCGUUACCCGGGUUGCGGACAGUGUCUGGUGGGUAGUUUGACUGGGGCGGUCUCCUCCUAAAGAGUAACGGAGGAGCACGAAGGUUGGCUAAUCCUGGUCGGACAUCAGGAGGUUAGUGCAAUGGCAUAAGCCAGCUUGACUGCGAGCGUGACGGCGCGAGCAGGUGCGAAAGCAGGUCAUAGUGAUCCGGUGGUUCUGAAUGGAAGGGCCAUCGCUCAACGGAUAAAAGGUACUCCGGGGAUAACAGGCUGAUACCGCCCAAGAGUUCAUAUCGACGGCGGUGUUUGGCACCUCGAUGUCGGCUCAUCACAUCCUGGGGCUGAAGUAGGUCCCAAGGGUAUGGCUGUUCGCCAUUUAAAGUGGUACGCGAGCUGGGUUUAGAACGUCGUGAGACAGUUCGGUCCCUAUCUGCCGUGGGCGCUGGAGAACUGAGGGGGGCUGCUCCUAGUACGAGAGGACCGGAGUGGACGCAUCACUGGUGUUCGGGUUGUCAUGCCAAUGGCACUGCCCGGUAGCUAAAUGCGGAAGAGAUAAGUGCUGAAAGCAUCUAAGCACGAAACUUGCCCCGA